CCAGCUGAACAGACCGUGCUGCUUUCCCAACAGAAAGGUUUCAGCUCUGGCCAUUGCAAUGUAGCUUUCCCAACGUGAGCUCUUUGUAGAGCUGUAUCCAGAGGUUCCUGCACUGAAUGAUUCACUGGCGUUUACCAGUUAGACUGAAUCUGAGCUCGUUCCCUGCAGUUGAUCCAUGGAGCCAUGACCAUUUUAUCAUCAACCUGUUGUUGUCACAUGGAGCAUUUUUCAUGCAGUCUGAAAAGGCUCUAUUACAGUUGGAAAGAGGGGGAGACAUCUGAGAAGAAAACAGUGCAUCCUAUGAAUUCACUCUGAACUCCAAGGGCAUGACGAGGGCCCAUCUUCUCCAUCCUUUCUCUGGUGGCUCAACACCAACUCUGAGCAGUAUUGAGAAGCCCAUCCUGUUGGGGGAGAGCAGGAGCCCAUACAGACAACCCCAGUGGCAGCGACGGAGCCCACCCCCUUCUCCUCUUAGGGCUGCUGAUGUUGGCUCAGCUGUGCUUGCUCUGGCAGCUCCCCACUCAUCUGGGUAGGAAGAGCAACAUCUGAGCUAAAUGAAGAUUGAAUUGACCACAACUGCUUAAAGUUCUUGUUCUACUUUCAUUGCUGAUGCUGGAGAAAAAAACAAAACCAAAAUAGGGUCAGCUCCUUCUAUUCCACAUAUAACUGCAUUGGAAAUAUUUGUGGAGUAGAGUGAUCAUUUGGCUCCAAACAACAAAAGAAUAUUUAUUCUGCUUUAUGGCAUAAUAUAAUCUAAAGAGAGACAAGUGAGAUUUCAAAAGAACAGGAGCUUUAAAUGCUAUACCAGAACUGAAAAAGAGGCUGUUUGUUAUCAGCCUCUGCAGAGCACUGCCACUACAUCUAAGAACAUUGCCAUGUUUAUCACACUUGGCAGAUUGCUCCUGUCACCACUGGAUGCUGUUCACCUUCAUUUUAAUGUGUUCUUUGCACUCUGCUCUAAAUAAACAAUA